rnacentral:rRNA from 1 species
UGGGGAAUCUUCCGCAAUGGGCGAAAGCCUGACGGAGCAAUGCCGCGUGAAGGAAGAAGUAUCUCGGUAUGUAAACUUCUAUCAGCAGGGAAGAAAAUGACGGUACCUGACUAAGAAGCCCCGGCUAACUACGUGCCAGCAGCCGCGGUAAUACGUAGGGGGCAAGCGUUAUCCGGAUUUACUGGGUGUAAAGGGAGCGUAGACGGAGCAGCAAGUCUGAUGUGAAAGGCAGGGGCUCAACCCCUGGACUGCAUUGGAAACUGUUGGUCUUGAGUACCGGAGGGGUAAGCGGAAUUCCUAGUGUAGCGGUGAAAUGCGUAGAUAUUAGGAGGAACACCAGUGGCGAAGGCGGCUUACUGGACGGUAACUGACGUUGAGGCUCGAAAGCGUGGGGAGCAAACAGG